AGUGGCGGACGGGUGAGUAACACGUAAGAAUUUGCCUUUAGGAGGGGGACAACAACUGGAAACGGUUGCUGAUACCCCAUAUGCUUUCGAGUGAAAUGGAUUUCCGCCUAAAGAGAAGCUUGCGGCUGAUUAGCUUGUUGGUGAGGUAAUGGCUCACCAAGGCGACGAUCAGUAUCUGGUUUGAGAGGACGAUCAGACACACUGGAACUGAGACACGGUCCAGACUCCUACGGGAGGCAGCAGUGGGGAAUUUUCCGCAAUGGGCGAAAGCCUGACGGAGCAAUCUCGCGUGAGGGAUGACGGCCUAUGGGUUGUAAACCUCUUUUUUCAGGGAGGAACAAAAUGACGUGUACCUGAAGAAUAAGCAUCGGCUAACUCCGUGCCAGCAGCCGCGGUAAGACGGAGGAUGCAAGUGUUAUCCGGAAUCACUGGGCGUAAAGCGUCUGUAGGUGGUUUAAUAAGUCAACUGUUAAAUCUUGAAGCUCAACUUCAAAAUCGCAGUCGAAACUAUUAGACUAGAGUAUAGUAGGGGUAAAGGGAAUUUCCAGUGGAGCGGUGAAAUGCGUAGAUAUUGGAAAGAACACCGAUGGCGAAGGCACUUUACUGGGCUAUUACUGACACUCAGAGACGAAAGCUAGGGUAGCAAAUGGGAUUAGAUACCCCAGUAGUCCUAGCCGUAAACAAUGGAUACUAGAUGUUG
rnacentral:rRNA from 1 species